AGUGAACGCUGGCGGUAGGCCUAACACAUGCACGUCGAACGGCAGCACAGUAAGUGCUUUCUCUUACGGGUGGCGAGUCGCGGACGGGUGACGAAUACAUUGGACUCUACUUUUUGGUGGGGGCUAACGUAGGUAAACUUACGCUAAUACAGCAUAAGACCUACGGGUGCAUGCAGGGGAUCUUCUGACCUUUCGCGUUAGCAUGAGGCGAGGCCGGUUUAGCUAGGUGGCGGGGCCAAGGCCCACCAAGGCGACGAUCCGUAGCUGGUCUGAGAGGAUGAUCAGCCACACUGGAACUGAGACACGGUCCAGACUCCUACGGGAGGCAGCAGUGGGGAAUAUUGGACAAUGGGCGCAAGCCUGAUCCAGCCAUACCGCGUGGGUGAAGAAGGCCUUCGGGUUGUAAAGCCCCUUUGUUGGGAAAGAAAAGCAGCAGGUUAAUACCCCGCUGUUCUGACGGUACCCAAAGAAUAAGCACCGGCUAACUUCGUG
rnacentral:rRNA from 1 species